GAUUUCUGGCUUGUACCAUUGAGCCGGCCACGGUUUCGUGUGUUAGUGCUUGAUGUUCUUGCCAUCCUUCCAAUCGCUGCGUAUUCUUCUUCAUUGAUUGGUACGUGGUAUUGGAUCUUUUACUUUGAACAAAUUAGAGUGUUUCAAGCAGGCUUUAUGCUAUGAAUACAUUAGCAUGGAAUAAUAAUUUAGGACUUCGGUUCUAUUUUGUUGGUUUCUAGGACUGAAGUAAUGAUUGAUAGGGACAGUUGGGGGUGCUAGUAUUCAGCGGCCAGAGGUGAAAUUCUCGGAUUCGCUGAAGACUAACUUAUGCGAAAGCAUU
rnacentral:rRNA from 1 species